CCCGCUGAACUUAAGCAUAUCAAUAAGCGGAGGAAAAGAAACUAACAAGGAUUCCCCUAGUAACUGCGAGUGAAGCGGGAAAAGCUCAAAUUUAAAAUCUGGUGGCCUUUGGCCAUCCGAGUUGUAAUUUAGAGAAGCGUCUUCCGCGCCGGACCGUGCACAAGUCUCCUGGAAUGGAGCCUCAUAGAGGGUGAGAAUCCCGUCUUUGGCACGGACGACCGGGGCUUUUGUGAUGCGCUCUCGAAGAGUCGAGUUGUUUGGGAAUGCAGCUCAAAAUGGGUGGUGAACUCCAUCUAAAGCUAAAUAUUGGCGAGAGACCGAUAGCGAACAAGUACCGUGAGGGAAAGAUGAAAAGCACUUUGGAAAGAGAGUGAAACAGUACGUGAAAUUGUUGAAAGGGAAACGCUUGAAGUCAGUCGCGUCGGCCGAGACUCAGCCUCGCUUCUGCUUGGCGCACUUCUCGGCCCAACGGGCCAGCUUCGUUUUCCCGCUUGGAACACUGCGAGGGAGAAGUGACGCCUCUCUGGGCGCUGUAUAGCCUCUCGUCGCAAGGCACCGUGGGGACUGAGAAUCUCGCGCGCGCCUUCAUGCGUGGGUAUUGUGCUCACGAUACCCGUCUAGGAUGAUGGCAUAGUGACUUCAAACGACCCUGCUUGACACGCCCCUUUACGGAGUCGUAUUUACCAGCUUGACUAGAUCCUGUUCUGAGGGUUAACUCGGAACAUAUCGUUAUCAUCUCCCUAUUCUCUUUCCCGUACGAGACUGUAAUCUUCUCGCGAAUUCCCAGGGCGGUCCUAGCCGGAAGCCUAACUCCCUAUUACCUUGGGUUGCCCUUAUUGCCCCGCUUCCUCACCUGAAAAUCCCGUUGGGCCAACUUCCCUUAAUUCAAACCGCCAAACCCGGGGGAGGCAGCCGGCUUUUAAUAUAGCGGCCCCAAUUCCCCUUCCACCAGCCCACUUUACCCCAAUUGGGGCCCCCUUCUCCCCCUUUCUCCGCCCAAACGGAAAUUCCCCUUCCCCCUCUCAAAGGGGUGGGGAAAU
rnacentral:rRNA from 1 species